rnacentral:rRNA from 1 species
UACGUAGGUGGCAAGCGUUGUCCGGAUUUACUGGGCGUAAAGCGUGCGCAGGCGGUUAUGUAAGUCAGGUGUGAAAUCCCAGGGCUUAACCUUGGAACUGCAUUUGUGACUGCAUAGCUAGAGUACGGUAGAGGGGGAUGGAAUUCCUCGUGUAGCAGUGAAAUGCGUAGAUAUGCGGAGGAACACCGAUGGCGAAGGCAAUCCCCUGGACCUGUACUGACGCUCAUGCACGAAAGCGUGGGGAGCAAACAGG